rnacentral:rRNA from 1 species
AGAGUUUGAUCAUGGCUCAGGAUGAACGCUAGCGGCAGGCUUAACACAUGCAAGUCGAGGGGUAACAGGGAGCUUGCUCCGCUGACGACCGGCAAACGGGUGCGGAACACGUACGCAACAUACCCGCUACUGGGGGGAUAGCCUUCUGAAAAGGAGAUUAAUACCCCAUAAGAUAAUGGAGUGGCAUCACUCAGUUAUUAAAGAUUUAUUGGUAGCGGAUUGGCGUGCGUCCUAUUAGCUAGUUGGUAAGGUAAUGGCUUACCAAGGCGAUGAUAGGUAGCUGGUGUGAGAGCACGACCAGCCACACGGGCACUGAGACACGGGCCCGACUCCUACGGGAGGCAGCAGUGAGGAAUAUUGGGCAAUGGACGGAAGUCUGACCCAGCCAUGCCGCGUGAAGGAUGAAGGCGUUCUGCGUUGUAAACUUCUUUUAUCAGGGAAGAAAAGCACUUUUUCUAGAGUGUCCGACGGUACCUGAGGAAUAAGCACCGGCUAACUCCGUGCCAGCAGCCGCGGUAAUACGGAGGGUGCGAGCGUUAUCCGGAUUUACUGGGUUUAAAGGGUGUGUAGGCGGGCUUUUAAGUCAGUGGUGAAAUCUCCGGGCUCAACCUGGAAACUGCCAUUGAUACUAUUGGUCUUGAAUAUUGUUGAGGUGGGCGGAAUACAUCAUGUAGCGGUGAAAUGCUUAGAUAUGAUGUAGAACACCGAUUGCGAAAGCAGCUCACUGGGCAAUUAUUGACGCUGAGGCACGAAAGCGUGGGGAUCAAACAGGAUUAGAUACCCUAGUAGUCC